rnacentral:rRNA from 1 species
AUUGAACGCUGGCGGCAUGCUUUACACAUGCAAGUCGAACGGCAGCGCGGGCUUCGGCCUGGCGGCGAGUGGCGAACGGGUGAGUAAUACAUCGGAACGUGCCCAGUAGUGGGGGAUAGCUCGGCGAAAGCCGGAUUAAUACCGCAUACGACCUGAGGGUGAAAGCGGGGGAUCUUCGGACCUCGCGCUAUUGGAGCGGCCGAUGGCAGAUUAGCUAGUUGGUGGGGUAAAGGCCUACCAAGGCGACGAUCUGUAGCUGGUCUGAGAGGACGACCAGCCACACUGGGACUGAAACACGGCCCAGACUCCUACGGGAGGCAGCAGUGGGGAAUUUUGGACAAAGGGCGAAAGCCUGAUCCAGCAAUGCCGCGUGUGUGAUGAAGGCCUUCGGGUUGUAAAGCACUUUUGGCGGGAACGAAAAGGACUGUGCCAAUACCACGGUUCGAUGACGGUACCCGCAGAAUAAGCACCGGCUAACUACGUG